GGAGCCGGGGCGGAGCCACGGCGCUGGCGGCCCCGGCGGCGGCGGCAGGUGUGGAUGGGGCGAAGGUGCGGGAACGUCCACUCCCGCGCGCCCCUCUCGGGGACCAGGGCGGCCUCCCAGGAGGAGCUUGGUUUCUGGUCCUCAUACCGUGUGGUUGAGUGAAAUCAAAACUUCCACGAUAGCAAUGCUGAUUGGACAAAGAAUGUGUUGUGGACACAAAACCAAACUCUGGAGGACAGAGGAUUCAUUCCAAGGUAGAGACAGAUUCUCUGGAAGUACCUUCUCAAGGCCAGUGUAGAGCUCCCAAUCACCCAGCAGAUUCUCCCUCUCCCACUGCCCGCACCAAGCAGGUCUCCAGGUGUUCCAGCUGCUGAUGAAGUCCAGUGUGGAGUUGGUCCAGGAGGGUCGUGUUCCAGGCAGCAGAGGAGCGCUCUGUGUGGAAGAGGCUGAAGAUCUGCUGCAGCAUCUCAUGGAGGACAGACAGGGCCUGGGCCUGCUGCAACUGGCUGUCAUACACAUCUCCAGGGGAAACCUGAAGUCUCUUCUGUCCUUGAGACACAAGAAAGGGGAGAUCCAUUUCAUUUGGCCCAGAAGCACCAACGUCUUCCUUCCUGUCAGACCAUGGUUCUGAGUCAGGUCACAUCCCAGAGAUCAAAAAGAGCCACAGCUGCACACAACUAGGACCACCACUAGAGAGUGAAGGCAGGCCACUGGGAAAUGAGGGAGCUGCUGGCCUGGUGGAGCUGGGGUCUGAGUGUAAUUUGGAACCUAGGUUCUCUCAAGACAUUCACUAUGCAUGGCUUUUAACAGGAAACAAAUAGUUUUCAUUUUCUGCAUUCCUCUACACUUAUUUCCCUUUUUAUUAUUUUUUUAUUCUUCAUAUGACCUAAGAAGAAACAUCACUCCAUACUAUUAAUUUUGCAAUAGAAGUCUAAUUUUCCUAGUAAACUUUAGAGGUGUCAAUCAAAAUGGAUAUUUAUCAAUUGCAUGAGAAACAUCUUUGUCCUAAAGGCCUAAGCGUAUAUAUGUAUGUAAAUCACACACACACAUGCACGCAUGCACACACUAUUUUUUAAUAUAUAAACAUUGCUUUUUCUGUUCUUGGAAAAGAUUUUGAGCCCUGAUCCUAGGCUCUAUUUUUACCCUCCAUACUUUACAUAGGAAAUCAGACUCCCUCACCUCUAUGGGUGUAUGAAGUUAGGGAUAUACCAGACCAUCUAUGGCAUUCAAACUCUUUAGGACUGGGUUUGUUUGCUGUUUUAUUCACAGCAGAGAUUGAUGGGUAUUGGUGAAUGAACUUCUGUGAAAUUUCUCUUCCUUCUAAAAUGCAUUUAUUGAGGUCCAUGAGGCCGUGGUUCAUGGGGGUCACAAAGUCAGGAUUAAUGCAGACCAUUGCUGUUUUUUUCACCAUUUCUUACUGGUGGACUAAGUGCUCCUCAGGCUGUGUCAAUUCCCUCAGGAAGAAUCCUGGCUGUUUUUCAGGUGCAUAUAGGUGUAGAGAUUCUAAUUCCAAGAUAAUGUUUUCCAACAUCACCUCACUCACAAGGUAGUUAUCACAUCCACUAACACUCUCUCCUAUAGAGUCACAAAGUAGCCUGAAUCCAAAAUCUUCCAGACAGAUUUAUUCCCUGAAAACAGGCUCACCACAUCCUGAUGACUUCAGAAUUCAACCCCUGAGGAAUGUCUUGUUUCUUUGCUGCCAAAAUAAUCUAUCUUCUAAGGCCCUUGCCUUUGUCCCUAGAGUGUUUGUGUGAGGGACCCUAGCCCUCAGUGAUGGCCUCUUCCUCUCCUGAGCCAUGUUCCUAGGUAUCAAAAGUCUCAACAGUCCUCCAAUGCUGAUAGCAAAGGCUUGUUUUGUCUAAGGAGGUAGAGGACUUAUGCAACUGCAAUCAUUUUACCUUCCUUAGUCAAGUAAUUCUUAUUUUGCGAAGUACAGUUUUUAUUGAUGAAGACCUUUACUUAAACCACUGAAAACUUGUUAUGCUUGAAGUUUCUGAGGUGGACACAGGGGAUUCAGUAACAAUAUUUUCUUUUAUUACAACCUAAUUUACAGAAACUAGUGACCUAAAGUUAUUUUAUACAGUCAGCAUGAUUCUAAUGGAGUCUUUUUCUGUGUCUGUCUCACUCUGACAAUGCAGGGCAGUGAGGCUCAGGUUAUUCAGUAAGAAAGAAAUAGCCUUAUUUCCUUACUUGUUUGUGAUUUUUCAUGUUGAAUUUUUGUAACUUCUUCUUCUUCUUCUUUUUUUUUUUUUUUUAGAUGGAGUCUCAGUCACCAGGCUGGAGUGCAGUGGCACAAUCUCAGCUCACUGCAACCUUCACCUCCUGGGUUCAAGCAAUUCCCCUGCCUCAGCCUCUCGAGUAGCUGGGACUACAGGUGCUCACCACCAUGCCUGGCUAAUUUUUUUUAUUUUAGUAGAGUCGGGGUUUCACCAUGUUGGCCAGGCUGGUCUCGAUCUCCUGAUCUCAUGAUCCACCUGCCUCGGCCUCCCAAAGUGCUGAGAUUAUAGGUUUGAGCCACCAUGACUGGCCGAAUUUUUGUAACUUCUUUUCACAUAGUGGUUUACUGGGUAAGGUGUAUCUUGCUUCUCCUACAUGAUAUUCUUAUUUAUGAUGAAUUAAAACAAAUAAAGAAAAGUAAAAGAAAGGCAAAGGAACCAUAUUGUUCUUCUCCAUAAUUUUCAAGAUUUCAGAUUUUUUGUCUCUCAUUUCAACUUUCCUAGAAAGCAAACCUCAACAAUUGCUUAUAUAUUAAAAACAAAACAAAUAUAAGCCUGAAUAUCAGGAAGUAAGAGAAGUGACUUUCUGCUGACAAAAUAGCAAAACAUAUGUUAGCAAAAUUCAGUGCAGCAAAAUUAGAGACUAGGGACUCUGUCCCAGGGGAAGGAUGAAUGUCAUUGUUGAGGUACACAAAAGCAAGGGAAACGGCUGCUUCUGCCAGAGCCUCACAGAAGAGCAACUCCUGGGUCAAUGGAUUGUCCUCAGCUUUGCAAGACCAGCCACCUGCUCUUCUUUCAUUGAAUGCAGAUGUUAUCACCUCUGAGGGAAACCAUGAAGCCAGAACCACAACAGAACAGAAAGCAGCUCUGUGUGAAUGGGCAGAAGGAUAAAGGGAGUGAAUGAUCAAGGAAACCCUGGUGAUAUGAGACUGCAUCCUGGAAUGCUGAGAGCCAGGGAAGGAAUGUACCAGGUGCCAGAAUCAGUCAAUAAACAUCAUGUGUCUUCUGCAGUUCAAACUAGAUGCUUCUUCUCCUAUCUCAGGAAAAGGAGCAGCCACCAUUCCCUGACUGCAUAUAAAUAGGACACAUCUUUGAAAUGAGGAUUGACAAUUUUUCAGCCUCUCUAGAAUUCUCAUUUUCUUAAUCUCCUUCCAUUGGAGGUCCGUUACUAAAAUAUAGGACAUAGUUCCUAAGAAUUUUAUAAAAAGACAAAUAAUAUUACCAUCUACAGCUGUAUGAAGAAAAAUAGGAAAAUACCUACCAUAGUUUAACUCCUUAUUCGAUAAAAGAUAUUAUCGUAGGUGCUUUAAAAUGCAUGUGUUCCUUUAAUACUCACAACUAUAUAAAUAUUUUGAAACCAUUUUAUUUAUGAGAAAACUAAGGCUCUAUGAGAAAACUAAGGCUCAAAGAGAUUAAGCAGAAUGAUCAACAAUACACCUACCUCCCAGCAGAAUGAAAUUUCAGUAUCAAAUUCUUUAAUGUAAUUGAUGGGUGAUUUUGUCAGUUUUGUAUUCCAGAUUUCUGUCAUAAUUGCUAAAUCUCCUUUUAUUCAUGAAUUAUACAUAACUCUUCCUUGCUCUCUGAAUAUGCGUGGUUCAUGUAUUUUCACUUGAUGUUGACCAGUUUUUUUCUUUACCUUACGUAUUGAGAAAGAAAGUCUCUGAUUGUUUCCCACUUUUAUUUUGUGAAGGAUGUUUGUCAGUCUUUAUGUCCAUAGUAAUUCGGUUCUUUCUGGAUUGAUCUAAGACUACAAUAUUCAUGAAAUCAGGAAGAAUUACCAAAGUGUAACAUAAAAGAAUUCUUAUAUCUAGCACUACAAGAAAUUAAGAUGGAUUGUAAAGGUGCAGAAGAACUGUAGUAAACCAGUGUGACAAUGAUGCAAGUUAACAACAAAUAAGGCCAAUACUUCCAGGUGUCAUUAUAUUAUCAUCAUUAAUUAUUUCGGUGAAGGAUCGAAUUAGUUAUCUCUUACUCCCUAACAGAUGAACAGAAACUAGGUAGCUUACUGAUAGCCAAAGUAGUAUUAAUUAAAACAAUAAUAAAUUAUAAUUGUAAAUAAUAUAUCAUGAUUUAAAAUAAUAUAUUAAGUAUAUUAAUAUGAUUUGCUAGUACAUCAGUUACAUGAAAUCUAUCCAGAAAAAUAUUAAUAAAGGAAAUACUAUGCACAGAAAAAGUAACUCACAUUCUUUCCCCCAUCACAUCCUAUUUUUUUGCCCUCUUCAGAGUCACUAACUUCUCUUAUUUAUACUUCCAGCCACUACAGUAUGGUUUGUUCUGAUUUAUUUUACCAUAAUAACUCUCAUAAGGUUGCCAGUGCCAUCUAUUUUCCCGAGGUAGUGGACAGUUUCAAUGUAUAUCUUCUGUAAAUCUACUGAUAACUCUUUUAAGAAUAUUAAUU
ensembl:lncRNA MIR31HG MIR31 host gene